UAAGCACACGUGCUGCCCUCGCACUAGCAGAGGAUACACGGUUCUUGCACCUGAAUCACGGCUAAAUACGAAACUUUGGCAUACAGAUCGUGUAAAGGAUUCAAAACCUUAGUAGAUCGUGUAAAGGAUUCAAAACCU
rnacentral:ribozyme from 1 species